GGAANNGGCGGAUGCUUUAACAUGCAGUCGAACGGCAGCACGGACUUCGGUCUGGUGGCGAGUGGCGAACGGGUGAGUAACAUAUCGGAACGUAUCCAAUAAUGGGGGAUAACGAGUCGAAAGAUUCGCUAAUACCGCAUACGCCCUACGGGGGAAAGCUGGGGACCUUCGGGCCUGGCGUUAAUGGAGCGGCCGAUAUCUGAUUAGCUAGUUGGUGAGGUAAAGGCUCACCAAGGCGACGAUCAGUAGCUGGUCUGAGAGGACGACCAGCCACACUGGAACUGAGACACGGUCCAGACUCCUACGGGAGGCAGCAGUGGGGAAUUUUGGACAAUGGGCGCAAGCCUGAUCCAGCCAUUCCGCGUGAGUGAAGAAGGCCUUCGGGUUGUAAAGCUCUUUCGCAAGGGAAGAAAACUUAGCCACUAACAUUGGCUGAGGUUGACGGUACCUUGAUAAGAAGCACCGGCUAACUACGUGCCAGCAGCCGCGGUAAUACGUAGGGUGCGAGCGUUAAUCGGAAUUACUGGGCGUAAAGCGUGCGCAGGCGGCUUUGUAAGUCAGAUGUGAAAUCCCCGAGCUCAACUUGGGAACUGCGUUUGAAACUACAAGGCUAGAAUAUGUCAGAGGGGGGUAGAAUUCCACGUGUAGCAGUGAAAUGCGUAGAGAUGUGGAGGAAUACCAAUGGCGAAGGCAGCCCCCUGGGAUAAUAUUGACGCUCAUGCACGAAAGCGUGGGGAGCAAACAGGAUUAGAUACCCUGGUAGUCCACGCCCUAAACGAUGUCUACUAGUUGUUGGUGGAGUAAAAUCCAUGAGUAACGCAGCUAACGCGUGAAGUAGACCGCCUGGGGAGUACGGUCGCAAGAUUAAAACUCAAAUGAAUUGACGGGGGCCCGCACAAGCGGUGGAUUAUGUGGAUUAAUUCGAUGCAACGCGAAAACCUUACCUGGCC
rnacentral:rRNA from 1 species